UACGUAGGGUGCGAGCGUUAAUCGGAAUUACUGGGCGUAAAGCGCGCGCAGGCGGCUAUCCAAGUCAGUGGUGAAAGCCCGGAGCUCAACUCCGGAAUUGCCAUUGAAACUGUUUAGCUUGAGUACGAGAGAGGUGAGUGGAAUUCCCAGUGUAGAGGUGAAAUUCGUAGAUAUUGGGAAGAACACCGGUGGCGAAGGCGGCUCACUGGCUCGUUACUGACGCUCAGGCGCGACAGCGUGGGGAUCAAACAGG
rnacentral:rRNA from 1 species